rnacentral:rRNA from 1 species
UACGGAGGGUGCAAACGUUGCUCGGAAUCAUUGGGCGUAAAGCGCACGUAGGCGGCUCGUUAAGUCGGGUGUGAAAGCCCUGGGCUCAACCCAGGAGGUGCAUUCGAAACUGGCGAGCUUGAAUAUGGAAGAGGGUCGCGGAAUUCCCGGUGUAGAGGUGAAAUUCGUAGAUAUCGGGAGGAACACCAGUGGCGAAGGCGGCGACCUGGGCCAAUAUUGACGCUGAGGUGCGAAAGCGUGGGGAGCAAACAGG